GUAUAGUUGGAGAUAAUGCUGAGAAAGAAGACUCCACAGCUCUUCCUGACUACCUCCAUCGAUUCAAUUCUGACUGGUACCAAAAGGUCCAAACUACCAAGACAGACGAAUACACCACCCUUAGGUUUACAGUGCAUUGUGGUCUCAAUAUGGUCCUUGCUCAAAUCCGCUCCUCAGAAUUUCCACCACUGGAGGUGUCCAACCAACACAAAAAGUCUGCAUGUCCCAUUCUCAGUAGUUAUUUUUCAUCUCUGUGAGGCGAGGCAGUAAAUACCAUGCUCCUCAGACCAUGGGCCCGAUAUGACCCUGCAACCUCUGUGUCUCCAACGUCUCUCCCAAGGUCCCUGGUUCCAAUGCCC
rnacentral:lncRNA from 1 species